rnacentral:rRNA from 1 species
GUGUCAGCCGCCGCGGUAAUACGAAGGGACCUAGCGUAGUUCGGAAUUACUGGGCUUAAAGAGCUCGUAGGUGGUUAAGAAAGUUGGCGAUGAAAUCCCAAGGCUUAACCUUGGAACUGUCACCAAAACUUUUUGACUAGAGUAUGAUAGAGGUAAGUGGAAUUUCUAGUGUAGAGGUGAAAUUCGUAGAUAUUAGAAAGAACACCAAUUGCGAAGGCAACUUUCUGGAUCAUUACUGACACUGAGGAGCGAAAGCAUGGGUAGCGAAGAGGAUUAGAUACCCUCGUAGUCCAUGCCGUAAACGAUGUGUGCUAGACGUUGGAAACUUAGUUUUCAGUGUCGCAGCAAAAGCGUUAAGCACACCGCCUGGGGAGUACGACCGCAAGGUUAAAACUCAAAUGAAUUGACGGGGACCCGCACAAGCAGUGGAGCAUGUGGUUCAAUUCGAAGAUACGCGCAGAACCUUACCAACACUUGACAUGUUCGUCGCGAACCUAAGAGAUUAGGUUCUUCAGUUUGGCUGGACGAAACACAGGUGCUGCAUGGCUGUCGUCAGCUCGUGUCGUGAGAUGUUGGGUUAAGUCCCGCAACGAGCGCAACCCUUACUUUUAGUUGCCACCAUUUAGUUGAGCACUCUAAAAGAACUGCCAGUGAUAAGCUGGAGGAAGGCGGGGAUGACGUCAAGUCCUCAUGGCCCUUACGUGUUGGGCUACACACGUGCUACAAUGGCACUUACAAUGAGAUGCAAAGAGGCGACUCCUAGCUAAUCUUAAAAAUGUGCCUCAGUUCGGAUUGUACUCUGCAACUCGAGUACAUGAAGCUGGAAUUGCUAGUAAUCGCGGAUCAGCGCGCCGCGGUGAAUACGUUCCCGGGU